AACGGGGAAGGAUGAGAAGCUUCGACUAAGGUUCGAUUCGAGCGUAGCGAGAAAGCGUUGCCGCAGGCAACGACCCGAAGGGCGAGGCGCAACGCGCCGAGUAAUCCUUCCCCCACCACCA
rnacentral:sRNA from 1 species